AUAUAUUUAAUGGCUAAUGCUGGUUUUAGAUUUAAUAAUGCGUGCCAUGUCGUAAACGAAUGUCGUAUUUUAUUCCGUCAGUAGUUAUCGCUCAUAAAAGUCUUAUAAUUUAAAGAGAUUUUACGAUCGAAUAGGAUAAGCUGAGGGAUGCCCAACCGGACACCAAUAUCAUAAAUCUAUGGUCGCCAGCUAAAUUUGAGUUUUGGCAAACACUUUGAUGCCCCCAAUCAUCUAAUAGGAAAAUCCACAAAACGAAGGGCCAGACAUGACAAUCAAAUUAUGGCACAAAACGGAAUAAAAACUCAUAAAAAUGACAUUAGCCAAAUGGAGCACGUACUGGAUUCCGCUAAGAUAAAUGAUGCCAAAAGCUUUCAUAUAAACAAAAUAUAAAAAUGAAAUCAAACAAAUAAUCUCCGAGUCAGGGUAAAAGAAACAGAAGCCGCACAAAUGAUGCGCGAAGCGAAAAAAGUGAAACCUUGGCAAGCUCUAUUGUUUCGAAUAAAUGUCGCACCUAUCAUACCCUGUAAUCGUUUCAUUAAUUGUAUUU
ensembl:ncRNA lncRNA:CR45025 long non-coding RNA:CR45025